rnacentral:rRNA from 1 species
UACGAAGGGGGCUAGCGUUGCUCGGAAUCACUGGGCGUAAAGGGUGCGCAGGCGGGUCUUUAAGUCAGGGGUGAAAUCCUGGAGCUCAACUCCAGAACUGCCUUUGAUACUGAAGAUCUUGAGUUCGGGAGAGGUGAGUGGAACUGCGAGUGUAGAGGUGAAAUUCGUAGAUAUUCGCAAGAACACCAGUGGCGAAGGCGGCUCACUGGCCCGAUACUGACGCUGAGGCACGAAAGCGUGGGGAGCAAACAGGG